ACGCUGGCGGCGUGCCUAAUACAUGCAAGUAGAACGCACAGGAUGCACCGUAGUUUACUACACCGUAUUCUGUGAGUUGCGAACGGGUGAGUAACGCGUAGGUAACCUGCCUGGUAGCGGGGGAUAACUAUUGGAAACGAUAGCUAAUACCGUAUAAGAACAUUUACUGCAUGGUAGAUGUUUAAAAGGUGCAAGAGCAUCACUACCAGAUGGACCUGCGUUGUAUUAGCUAGUUGGUGAGGUAACGGCUCACCAAGGCAACGAUACAUAGCCGACCUGAGAGGGUGAUCGGCCACACUGGGACUGAGACACGGCCCAGACUCCUACGGGAGGCAGCAGUAGGGAAUCUUCGGCAAUGGGGGGAACCCUGACCGAGCAACGCCGCGUGAGUGAAGAAGGUUUUCGGAUCGUAAAGCUCUGUUGUUAAGGAAGAACGUGUGUGAGAGUGGAAAGUUCACACAGUGACGGUACUUAACCAGAAAGGGACGGCUAACUACGUGCCAGCAGCCGCGGUAAUACGUAGGUCCCGAGCGUUGUCCGGAUUUAUUGGGCGUAAAGCGAGCGCAGGCGGUUAGAUAAGUCUGAAGUGAAAGGCAGUGGCUCAACCAUUGUAGGCUUUGGAAACUGUUUAACUUGAGUGCAGAAGGGGAGAGUGGAAUUCCAUGUGUAGCGGUGAAAUGCGUAGAUAUAUGGAGGAACACCGGUGGCGAAAGCGGCUCUCUGGUCUGUAACUGACGCUGAGGCUCGAAAGCGUGGGGAGCGAACAGGAUUAGAUACCCUGGUAGUCCACGCCGUAAACGAUGAGUGCUAGGUGUUAGGUCCUUUCCGGGACUUAGUGCCGCAGCUAACGCAUUAAGCACUCCGCCUGGGGAGUACGACCGCAAGGUUGAAACUCAAAGGAAUUGACGGG
rnacentral:rRNA from 1 species